CUUUUUCCAUGAUUAUUUGAUUACCUACAUUAUUUGAUUUUUAAGUGAAAACAAAUUCAGAAUGAG